ensembl:lncRNA
UUUGAUUUAAUUUCACAAUAUCAAAUUGUACACUGCAUGGCAUCUUAGAAAAAUAAUUUGAUUUGAAGAAAAACAAAAGGAUACGAACAAGGAUAAGAGUUUCACAAGUGUUUAACAUAAGCAAAUCGAUUCGAUAUAACAUAUAUAUAAGUGAUCACAUUUUGUUAUUCUGAUGCCUGUCAGAUCUAGUACUCCCAUAUUUCUUCAUCAACUAGACGGGUGGGUGCGACUUCCUCUGUGGUCAUCGUGGCGAUGUCGGGAUCUUUGUCGCCCUGCGUUUCCUCGACCAUUGGAACAGACUCCGCUUGCUCGCUGUUUUGCGUUUUUUCCGAUUCCGCUGGGUUCAUUGCAGUCUGCUCGCUCGCCCCGGUCUCCUUGGCGCCGGACUCGUCACCGUCUGCCUCCGUUUCGGAAGUUCCCUGAAAGUAUGCUAGAGGCACUUCUGCGGAGACUUCCUGUGUCGAUUUUGCAGUCUUCUCUGCGCUUCCGGUCUGGCGCUCCUCUUUGUCAGCCGCGCAGGCUGAUUGAGGGAGGCCCCCGCUGCCGGCCACGGGGGAGGCCUGCCGGUCCUUGGGUUGGCCCUCUAGGCCGAAGAAGGUGCUCUGCACGACGUAGCGCACGCACUGCAGCAGCACAUUCCUCUCGUGACGAAUGUCGGGCGCCAGCAACUAGACGCAGAACAAGCAGGGUUGGGGGAGGUCAGUACAACAGAUGUCGCUAGGAAAAGCGUUGCCUCUUGCUAGGAUACAUUGCCUCAUUGUGGGAUAGAUGCUGUUUCGUUGCUAGGUUACACUCCGCCUCAUUGUGGGAUACAUGCUGUUUUGUUGCUAGGUUACACUCCGCCUCGUUGCUAGGUUACACUCAAUGCCUCGUUGCUAGGUUACACUCAAUGCCUCGUUGCUAGGUUACACUCAAUGCCUCGUUGCUAGGUUACACUCAAUGCCUCGUUGCUAGGUUACACUCAAUGCCUCGUUGCUAGGUUACACUCAAUGCCUCGCUGCUAGGUUACACUCAAUGCCUCGCUGCUAGGUUACACUCAAUGCCUCGCUGCUAGGAUACAGUCCGCCUCGCUGCUAGGAUACAGUCCGCCUCGCUGCUAGGAUACAGUCCGCCUCGCUGCUAUGAUACAGUCCGCCUCGCUGCUAGGAUAUAGUCCGCCUCUAAGUUUCUUCUCACCAUCUCCAGUAG